GUCUCAGUUCAGAUUGUAGGCUGAAACUCGCCUAUAUGAAGUCGGAAUUGCUAGUAAUCGCGGAUCAGCAUGCCGCGGUGAAUACGUUCCCGGGCCUUGUACACACCGCCCGUCACACCAUGAGAGUCGAUAACACCCGAAGCCUGUAGUCUAACAGCAACGAGGACGCAGUCGAAGGUGGGAUUGAUAAUUAGGGUGAAGUCGUAACAAGGUAAC
rnacentral:rRNA from 1 species